rnacentral:rRNA from 1 species
UACAGAGGGUGCAAACGUUGUUCGGAAUUACUGGGCGUAAAGCGCGUGUAGGCGGCUCGGAUAGUCGGGUGUGAAAGCCCUGGGCUCAACCCAGGAAGUGCACUCGAUACUGCCGAGCUGGAGUCCCGGAGAGGAUGGCGGAAUUCUCGGUGUAGAGGUGAAAUUCGUAGAUAUCGAGAGGAACACCUGUGGCGAAGGCGGCCUUCUGGACGGUGACUGACGCUGAGACGCGAAAGCGUGGGGAGCAAACAGG